UGGGGAAUAUUGCACAAUGGGCGAAAGCCUGAUGCAGCGACGCCGCGUGCGGGAUGAAGGCCUUCGGGUUGUAAACCGCUUUUAAUUGGGAGCAAGCGAGAGUGAGUGUACCUUUUGAAUAAGCACCGGCUAACUACGUGCCAGCAGCCGCGGUAAUACGUAGGGUGCAAGCGUUAUCCGGAAUUAUUGGGCGUAAAGAGCUCGUAGGCGGUUUGUCACGCCUGGUGUGAAAGUCCAUCGCUUAACGGUGGAUCUGCGCCGGGUACGGGCAGGCUAGAGUGCAGUAGGGGAGAUUGGAAUUCCCGGUGUAACGGUGGAAUGUGUAGAUAUCGGGAAGAACACCAAUGGCGAAGGCAGAUCUCUGGGCUGUUACUGACGCUGAGGAGCGAAAGCAUGGGGAGCGAACAGGAUUAGAUACCCUGGUAGUCCAUGCCGUAAACGGUGGAUGCUGGAUGUGGGGCCCUUCCACGGCUCCGUGUCGGAGCUAACGCGUUAAGCAUCCCGCCUGGGGAGUACGGCCGCAAGGCUAAAGC
rnacentral:rRNA from 1 species